AGCUCCAAUAGCGUAUAUUAAAGUUGUUGCAGUUAAAAAGCUCGUAGUUGAAAUACUGAUUUAGUCGACCGGUCCCGUGCUUUGUCGCGGGCACUCGUGUCGAGCUAGAUCAUUCUUGGUGAUAACCGAUCUGGCAUUAGGUUGUUGGAUUUUUGGUGAAGACCAUCGUUUACUGUGAAAAAAUUAGAGUGUUCAAAGCAGACUUAUGUCGUUGAAUACAUUAGCAUGGAAUAAUAAUAUAGGACUUUUGUACUAUUUUGUUGGUUAGGUGUGAAAGUAAUGAUCAACAGGGACAGUCGGGCAUAUUUGUAUUUCGUUGCUAGAGGUGAAAUUCUUGGAUUUCCGAAAGACAAACUACUGCGAAAGCAUCUAUGAAGGAUGUUUUCAUUA
rnacentral:rRNA from 1 species